UUUCCGUAGGUGAACCUGCGGAAGGAUCAUUACACAUAUAAACUAGAUCUCAGGGGAGGUUCGCCUCUUUCUGAGAUGUAUGUUAUACCCAUGUCUUUUGCGUACUACUUGUUUCCUUGGUAGGCUUGCCUGCCAAUAGGACAAAAUCAAAACCUUUUGUAAUUGCAGUCAGCGUCAGAAAUAACUUUUAAUAGUUACAACUUUCAACAACGGAUCUCUUGGUUCUGGCAUCGAUGAAGAACGCAGC
rnacentral:misc_RNA from 1 species